rnacentral:rRNA from 1 species
UACGUAGGGGGCAAGCGUUGUCCGGAUUUAUUGGGCGUAAAGAGCGUGUAGGCGGCCAGGUAGGUCCGUUGUGAAAACUCGAGGCUCAACCUCGAGACGCCGAUGGAAACCAUCUGGCUAGAGUCCGGAAGAGGAGAGUGGAAUUCCUGGUGUAGCGGUGAAAUGCGCAGAUAUCAGGAAGAACACCCGUGGCGAAAGCGGCUCUCUGGAACGGUACUGACGCUGAGACGCGAAAGCGUGGGGAGCGAACAGG